CACGUAGGUGACAAGCGUUGUCCGGAUUUACUGGGCGUAAAGAGCGCGCAGGCGGUCGAUCAAGUCGAGUGUGAAAUCCCUCGGCUCAACCGGGGAACUGCGUCCGAUACUGGCGAGGCUUGAAUCCGGGAGAGGGAUGUGGAAUUCCAGGUGUAGCGGUGAAAUGCGUAGAUAUCUGGAGGAACGACCAGUGGCGAAGGCGGCAUCCUGGACCGGCAUUGACGCUGAGGCGGCGAAAGCUA
rnacentral:rRNA from 1 species